rnacentral:rRNA from 1 species
GACAGAGGGUGCAAACGUUGUUCGGAAUUACUGGGCGUAAAGCGCGUGUAGGCGGCCCUGCAAGUCGGAUGUGAAAUCCCACGGCUCAACCGUGGAAGUGCAUUCGAAACUGCAGGGCUAGAGUCCUGGAGAGGAAGGUGGAAUGCUUGGUGUAGAGGUGAAAUUCGUAGAUAUCAAGCGGAACACCAGUGGCGAAGGCGACUUUCUGGGCUGUAACUGACGCUGAGGCGCGAAAGCGUGGGGAGCAAACAGG